GCCUCGGUGAUGUAGUGGUAGUAGCACGCGUCGCCAGUAUGGAUUCAUAACAAAACGCGAGUUCAUUACGCGUUCGCGGGUUCGAUUCCCGCUUGAGACC